UUCCUACUGGGAUUUAACAGUGGGUGGCCAGUUAGUUCCCAGAAUGUCCAAGAAAAACAAACUUGUUAUUCUGAGUGAAAUUGCAGCCCAGCUUAGGCGAAACUGGGUCUGCUUUAAAUUAAACACAGCAUUUCUGAGAUUCUUUUCAUCUCCUUGCCACUGUGAGUUAGCGGAGACAUUACGUCACCUCAUCUUCCUGUUCUGAGGUGAGGAAACCAACAUGGUGUGAGCCUAGGACUGGACCAGCCCCUGGACUUGAGGCUUCCAGGGCUCUGAGCAGGUGCACAGAUACAGGCAGCUUGCUUGAGCAAGAAGAAUUCUUACGAAGAAGAAAAGGAAGAAGAAGGAGGAGGAGGACAAGAGGAGGAAGAGGGGGAGGAGAAGAAAAAGGCCUCCAAGAGCAGUGGAUUCGUAAUGCUGGCACCAAGACCCAGCAAUAACCCUGGAGGCAAACAACAACAACAAAAAGAUAUAUCUGGCCUUCUGGCUGGUAAUGAAUAGGUGAUCUGGGAGAGAAUAAGGCAAUACGCAGCAAAGGUUAUAUAAAGUUUAUUGGAAUAAACCAGAUAAGAAAUAUUCACCAAGAGAAGGGCAAACAAUAAAAAGGAGCUAUCUGCCUCACAGGUGAGUCAGAGGGAGGAAUGUCAGCACAG